GGGGUAAAAUUAAUAAAUUAUAAUUAAUAAAAAAAUUUUUUUAAUAAUAUACUUGAUUGGGGUUAAAGUAUAAAAAAGAAAAAAUUUUAAUUUUUAUAGUUAAAUAGUAUUGUAAAAGAAUUUUGAAAUAAUUGAAAAUAAAUUAAAUUAAAAGUAAAUUUUAUUUAUUGUAUCUUGUGUAUCAGAGUUUAUUAAAAAAUUUUAAUGGAUGUUAAUUUCUCGAAUUUAAAAGAGCUAAUUGAUUAAUAAAGUUAAUGUUGUAAAUUUAUUUUUAAUAAUUAAUUUGAAAUGAAAUGUUAUUCGUUUUUAAAUAUAUCUAGUUUUUUUAGAAAAAAAUUUAAUUUUUAAUUAUUUUAUUAAAAAAUUUAUUAAUUAAUUUUUUAAUUUAAAUAAUUUUAUAUUUUAAGGGAUAAGCUUUAAUUUAAAUAAUUAUAAUAAAAAUAAAUUAAUUUUAAAAAUUUUAUGAUUUAAAUUAUCAUUAAAUUAUAAUUUAUUAUAAAUAAUUUUAAAAUAAGAAAAAUUUAAUUUAAUUUAAUUUUUUAUAAAAAAAAAAUUAUAAAUAAAAUAAAAUUUAUUAUAAUGAUAAAAUUAGUAUAUUAUUAUUAUUAUUUAAAAAAUUUUUUUAAUAAAAAUUAAUAAAAAGGAAUUCGGCAAAUUUAUAUAUUCACUUGUUUAACAAAAACAUGUCUUUUUGAAAUUAAUUUAAAGUCUAAUCUGCCCACUGAUUUUAUAUUGAAGGGCUGCAGUAUAUUGACUGUACAAAGGUAGCAUAAUCAUUAGUCAUUUAAUUGAUGACUUGUAUGAAGGAUUGAAUGAAAUAUAAACUGUCUCUUUAUUAAUAUAUAGAAUUUAAUUUUUUAAUUAAAAAGUUAAAAUUUUUUAAAAAGACGAGAAGACCCUAUAGAGUUUUAUAAGUGAUUUUAUUUUAAAUUAUUUAUUUUUAAUAUAAUUGGAAUGAUUUUAUUUAUUUUGUUGGGGUGACAAAAAAAUAAAAAAAACUUUUUUUAUAAGUUGACAUAAAUAAGUGAUUAAAUGAUCCAAUUUUAUUGAUUAUAAGAAAAAAUUACCUUAGGGAUAACAGCGUAAUUUUUUUUUUUAGUUCAAAUAAGAAAAAGAGUUUGCGACCUCGAUGUUGGAUUAAGAUAAAAUUUAAAUGCAAAAGUUUAAAAUUUUGAUCUGUUCGAUCAUUAAAAUCUUACAUGAUCUGAGUUCAAACCGGUGUAAGCCAGGUUGGUUUCUAUCUUUUAAUAAAAAAAAUAUUUUAGUACGAAAGGAUCAAUUAUUUAAAUUAAAUUUAUAAUUAAGAAUAUUAUUAAUAAUAUAUAUAUAUAUAUAUAUAUAUAUAUAUAUAUAUAUAUACAUAUAGUUAAUGUUUAUAUUA
rnacentral:rRNA from 1 species